UACGUAGGGGGCGAGCGUUGUCCGGAAUCAUUGGGCGUAAAGAGCGUGUAGGCGGCUUGGUAAGUCCGCUGUGAAAGUCCAGGGCUCAACCCUGGAAAGCCGGUGGAAACUGUCAAGCUUGAGUCCGGAAGAGGCGAGUGGAAUUCCUGGUGUAGCGGUGAAAUGCGCAGAUAUCAGGAGGAACACCAAUGGCGAAGGCAGCUCGCUGGGACGGUACUGACGCUGAGACGCGAAAGCGUGGGGAGCAAACAGG
rnacentral:rRNA from 1 species